rnacentral:rRNA from 1 species
UACGAAGGGGGCGAGCGUUGUUCGGAUUUACUGGGCGUAAAGGGCGCGCAGGCGGCAGACCAAGUCAGGCGUGAAAUCCCUCGGCUCAACCGGGGAACUGCGUCUGAUACUGGGUGGCUUGAAUCCGGGAGAGGGAUGCGGAAUUCCAGGUGUAGCGGUGAAAUGCGUAGAUAUCUGGAGGAACACCGGUGGCGAAGGCGGCAUCCUGGACCGGCAUUGACGCUGAGGAGCGAAAGCCAGGGGAGCAAACGGG